rnacentral:tRNA from 1 species
UCCCUGGCGGUUCAGUAGUUAGGAUGCAGCACUUUCACUGCUGAGACCCAGGUUCAAUCCCUGAUUGGGGAA